rnacentral:rRNA from 1 species
AUACGGAGGGUGCAAGCGUUAUCCGGAUUUAUUGGGUUUAAAGGGUGCGUAGGCGGUACGUUAAGUCAGUGGUGAAAUUUUUCGGCUCAACCGGAACAUUGCCGUUGAUACUGGCGUGCUAGAAUAUGGUUGCUGUGAGUAGAAUGUGUGGUGUAGCGGUGAAAUGCAUAGAUAUCACACAGAAUACCGAUUGCGAAGGCAUCUCACAAAGCCAUUAUUGACGCUGAGGCACGAAAGUGUGGGGAUC